GUAGGGAAUAUUGGGCAAUGGAUGCAAGUCUGACCCAGCCAUCCCGCGUGCCGGAAGAAGGCCCUCAGGGUUGUAAACGGCUUUUGACGGUGAAGAAUCGACAGGAUGCGUCCUGUUUUGACGGUAGCCGUUGAAUAAGCACCGGCUAACUCCGUGCCAGCAGCCGCGGUAGUACGGAGGGUGCGAGCGUUGUCCGGAUUUAUUGGGUUUAAAGGGUGCGUAGGCUGGAAGGUCAGUCAGCGGUGAAAAGCUAUCGCUUAACGAUAGUCUUGCCGCAGAUACUUCCUUUCUUGGAUGAGGAGGAGGCCACUGGAACGGAUGGUGUAGCGGUGAAAUGCAUAGAUAUCAUCCAGAACACCGAUUGCGAAGGCAGGUGGCUGUACCUUAAUCGACGCUGAUGCACGAAAGCAUGGGGAGCAAACAGGAUUAGAUACCCUUGUAGUCC
rnacentral:rRNA from 1 species